UAAACGACUCUCGGCAACGGAUAUCUCGGCUCUCGCAUCGAUGAAGAAC
rnacentral:rRNA from 1 species